rnacentral:rRNA from 1 species
ACGGAAGGCAGCAGUGGGGAAUAUUGCACAAUGGGCGAAAGCCUGAUGCAGCGACGCCGCGUGAGUGAAGAAGUAUCUCGGUAUGUAAAGCUCUAUCAGCAGGGAAGAAAAUGACGGUACCUGACUAAGAAGCCCCGGCUAACUACGUGCCAGCAGCCGCGGUAAUACGUAGGGGGCAAGCGUUAUCCGGAUUUACCGGGUGUAAAGGGAGCGUAGACGGUUUGGCAAGUCUGAAGUGAAAUGCGGGGGCUCAACUCCUGAACUGCUUUGGAAACUGUCGAACUAGAGUGCAGGAGAGGUAAGUGGAAUUCCUAGUGUAGCGGUGAAAUGCGUAGAUAUUAGGAGGAACACCAGUGGCGAAGGCGGCUUACUGGACUGUAACUGACGUUGAGGCUCGAAAGCGUGGGGAGCAAACAGGAUUAGAUACCCUGGUA